GUGGGGAAUAUUGGACAAUGGGCGAAAGCCUGAUCCAGCCAUGCCGCGUGUGUGAAGAAGGUCUUCGGAUUGUAAAGCACUUUAAGUUGGGAGGAAGGGCAGUAAGUUAAUACCUUGCUGUUUUGACGUUACCGACAGAAUAAGCACCGGCUAACUUCGUGCCAGCAGCCGCGGUAAUACGAAGGGUGCAAGCGUUAAUCGGAAUUACUGGGCGUAAAUCGCGCGUAGGUGGUUUUGUAAGUUGGAGGUGAAAUCCCCGGGCUCAACCUGGGAACUGCCUCCAAAACUGCAUGACUAGAGUACGGUAGAGGGUAGUGGAAUUUCCUGUGUAGCGGUGAAAUGCGUAGAUAUAGGAAGGAACACCAGUGGCGAAGGCGACUACCUGGACUGAUACUGACACUGAGGUGCGAAAGCGUGGGGAGCAAACAGGAUUAGAUACCCCUGUAGUCC
rnacentral:rRNA from 1 species